GGGAGAUUGCAUUCUCUUUGAAUGGAAAACACUUAGUUUAAUAAAGCACCGAUGUUAUCAGUAUUAACUGGUUUUAUUCUGAUGUUGCUAGAGUUCACUACCAUACACAAGUAGAGAAAAAAAAGUUGAAUUGUUAGAGAGCAUAAAUGUAAAAAUACAAUUCAAAUGGGGAAAAAAAAGGUCACAUGAUCGAUAUCAGAGUGAUCUACAGGGAUUUCAACUCUCUGCUGAGGCGUCAGAAUCCAGUGACACAGGAAAGACAAAAGCAGUGUCACUCAGAGCUACGUGAGUGAUGUGAAAUGGGAUGUUUGUGUAACAAGGGUAGCUUAAGUUAAAUAUAUGGAUGCUGACAGGUGGGGAAGCAGUACAGGACCUUCGUUGUAGACAGCAUAAUUUAAUGCUGUAUUGAUAGUUACCAGCCUAUCAUUCUAAUUCCAGGUCUGGUUUUCUUUACGACCCCGUAGCUAGCCGGAGGGUGCGAGAUCUCACUUAGGGGAUCUCGCGAGAAUGUCAAUGUAGAAGCUACGUGCAGUGUUUUCCUGUACUGUGCAUUUAUGAGAAGCCCUGUUAAACGUCCCUCCCGAUGUGUUUUAAUUGCAGGUGAGAACGUAAUUUAGUAUAGCGAAGGCAUACUGAGGUGUUUUGGGGAUGGGGAUAUUGUAAUGUGUCAUACCGCAUUUGUGGCUGCGAUUUGAAAUAUGUGUUCGGGAUAAUGACGGACGCACGGGGACUCGCAGACCAAAUUGUAAACAAAGAAAACGUAAUUUGUGACAUGUUCCUUGAGUAAGAGGGUAUAACGAUGAUUUAUUAGUUAAUACUGCUUGAAAUUCUGUAACAAUAGUCUAGUAGAGAGUUUGUAUUUCACUUUAUACUUUUGUUUCUGCGUGUUAAAAGUGAAAGUAAAGUGCAUGGACAACGAGAUCUCACUUAGGGGAUCUCGCGAGAAUGUUAAUGUAGAAGCUACGUGCAGUGUUUUCCUGUACUGUGCAUUUAUGAGAAGCCCUGUUAAACGUCCCUCCCGAUGUGUUUUAAUUGCAGGAGGACAAAAUAAAGAGCCAUUGAACUGACCAGCAAGCUUGGGAGUAUCGUGUUAAACCAAGCUACACACUUUCACACAACGCAGAGCAUCUGAAUGGGUGGAGCCAGGCCCAGGAGUACUGCAUGAUAGACAGUCUGUAAAGUAGCCACCACCCUGACUUGACAGUAGUUUAUAUUUAAAGGGGAAUUUUAAAGUAGAAUAGCCCCAGUUUGCUAUACCUUGUUCAGCCAGUAGGUUAAUAUAUAUAUAUAACUCAGCCAGCUAUAUAAUCGACCCUAAGUAAGGCUUACGUAUUAGUGAACCCUGUUUACUGAUAUAGUCACGUUAAUGAGUAGGGGUUACAUUUGCACACAUUUUAUGAUGUGUUUUGUUUAUGUUGGUUACAAUUAAUAUUUUACGGAGCUUCUUGCAGGAGAGGUGAUGAUAACUAGAUUAAUGUGAUAACUGAAACAUGAAUAAAUCAUGAAUGACAUGGGAUUAUUGAUGGUGCAAAGGUGAACUUGCAGGUAUUGCAACUGUUUGUGUGAAUAGAAUACGGAUACUUUAUUGUGGGAGUUUAGUGUAUAAUGGAGUGGACUAAAAUAUUUCUAAACAUUGUACAGAAAGGUCUUUGUGUGUUGUGUAGUGUGCAGAUUUCUCUACCUUUGGACUGAAAGCAGCACAUGGGAAAACAGCACAUGGAAAAACAAAAAGGUGUGCUCAUAUAGAGAUAUAUGGGUGGGGUUAAGCACAGAGUACUGAGCGAGGUUUGAUGAGAGACUGAUGGGAUUUUUAGGACAGAUGUUUUUAGGAGAUCUAAAAAAUCUGAAACAAACUAUGGGAUCUAGAUGAGAACAUUAAGCAUUUUCGUGAAUGGAUAUUUGUGUGAAUUAAGUGUGCUUGUAGUGACGUCACAGAAAGACAGACUGAGUGAUGUUUCUGCAUUACAUACUAUUACACUUGAGGGGUUCAAUGGUAAAGUAUUUUGGGCAACAAAAAUGCUGUUGUUGUAGUUUCAAAUUGGCAAUGAUACAUUUAAAGGGAUAUGGAUGGGUUCCACUGGAGAUGGUAGGAACAUAUUUGGUUGCAGUCUGAAAUUGCGUAUUUUGUCAGCAACCGAAAGAGGGGAGUGUAAUAUGCAUUUUGUGAUACAUAUUUUGAACAAUUGUCUGGUGUGCUUACAAAUGAAACCUGCCUCCACCAUACUUCGCUGUAGGGAUGGUGUGUCUUGAGGCAUGGGCAGUGUUAGGUUUGCGCCACACAUAGCGCUUUGAGUUUUGGCCAAAAAGCUCUAUCUUGGUCUCAUCUGACCACAAAACCUUUUCCCACAUCGCAGCUGGGUCACUCUCAUGCUUUCUGGCAAACUCCAGACGUGCUUUCAGAUGGUACUUUUUGAGUAAUGGCUUCUUUCUUGCCACCCUCUCAUACAGGCCAGAGCUCUUGAUAUGGUUGACUGGUGCACCAUUACUCCACUCCCAGCCACUGAACUCUGUAGCUCCUUCAAAGUGAUUGUUGGCCUCUCUGUAGCUUCUCUCACAAGUCUCCUUCUUGUUUGAGCGCUGAGUUUUGAGGGACGGCCUUUUCUUGGCAGUGCCUGGGUGGUGUGAUGCAGCUUCCACUUCCUGAUUAUUGAUCCAACUGUGCUCACUGGGCUAUCCAAACACUUGGAUAUUAUUUUGUACCCUUUCCCUAAUCUAUGCAUUUGUAUUACUUUAUCUCUAACUUCUGUGGAAUGCUGUUUGGUCUUCAUUUUCCUUCAGAUUCACAGCCUGACCAAUGAUCCUUCAACAGUGGGGUUUUUAUCCAGAAAAUGUGACAGCAACUUUAAUGGUUCACAGGUGAAGGCCAAUGGUAAGGUAAUUGUGUCCUCGUUAGGGCAAUUUCUUUCAUCAGUGUAAACUGGGAGCUUCCACAGCACAGGGGUUUAAUACUUAUGCAAGCAAGAUAUUUCAGUUUUUUAUUUUUCUUAAAAAUAUUUCCCAACAUAAAACCAAUGUCACCUUACAAUAAUUGAUUUUGAGUUUCAGUGUUUUAAAAUAAAAUAUCAAACUGAACGAAAUUUCAAUGUACCAUUUGUAAUUCAGUAAUAUGAGAGAAUUGGUCAGGGGUGUGAAUAAUUUUGCAAGGCACUGUGUAUCUAUAUAUAUAUGUUGGAGAAAAAAUAUGGAGGGUGUGAUUGGACCAGGGUAAUGAGAAUGAAUGAAAGAGAAUAUUGUUACAGCAGAAAUGCUUCAAUAGAUUAUGGAAAGGAAAAGUGGUGCUGUAGUAGCUGUUGGGAAACAUAUCUCUCUCUUGCUUAUUUUGGGGUCCAUAAGAACAUUCCUUUGGUAAAGUUUGUGAAGAAAGGCACAAUAAAUGGUCUAGGUGGCUUGUGACUGAUUGCUUCAAUGUUCUGGGUACUGGGUUAGUGAACACAAGGUACAGUAGUACAGGGCUAGUCAGUAUUACAUUUUAGGAGAACUAGCUAACAUGGUAAAUACUUUGUCGCGAGGGUACAAAAGAAAUUGUUCAGAAUGCUGUGUAUACAAUACAUGACACUCGGUGGUGGUUCUUGGAACUGCAAUGAAAUAAUUCAGGAAAAGCAUUGCCAAUUGUAGUUUAAUUUUUCAAUGGGUGAUGUUCUAAUUUACAUAAGAUAUUUGUUUGUGUUGAGACAAAGGGAGGAUUUGCACUUUGUAUGUUUCAAUAGAGAUCUUGCGAAUUAAUAAUCAUAAUUAUUAUGAUGAAACAGAUCGUUGAAAUAAAAGAAGUAAACAUUUCUUCUCUCACACAGACUGCAUCAUGUAGGCAGACAUCACAAGGUGAAGAUGAAAAAUCAAGGUUGAAAUUAAAUCAGAUGUUAUCAAAAGAAUACUGCACUUGAUUUUCUUCUAGGUGCUGAAAUGAGGUUAUUCUGAUUUUGAAAAUUGUUGUUCUGUUAAAGAACAAAUGGACUAUGAGAUCACCUUUCAUGGACAUUAGUUUUUUUUUUUUUUAAUAAUGGAAUAUUUAAAUGAUAUACUGUAUUACUGAAUAUGUCUGGAGAGAAUGAAGGGAAAUGUAUGUUAAUUUUAUUUGUAGCAGUGGGUUAGCAAUAGAAAUAUUAUGUAAAACGAUUGCGUUUGUGGGUAUUGUAAAGCAUAUCCCAAGAUGUAAUGGGGUUUGCAUAAUUAUGGAGAAAAGGGAUAAUUGUUUACUAAUGUUGCAGAUAGAUAGUAAAGCAUUCAUACACUAUUUUAGUACUUAUUCAAUGUAGAGUGAUCAUUUUUGAAGUUAGUUUAAAUCAAUCUGAUGUGAACAUAAGGUUGAUAUGGUCUGGAAUAUGGAUUCUGGAAAAAUGUAUUAUUAUAUACACAAAUGUGUGGUUAAAGAAAAGGGCUUGUAAUCAGGAGGUCCCUGGUUCAAAUCCCACCUCAGCCACUGACUCUGAGCAAGUCACUUAACCUCCUUGUGCUCCGUCUUUCGGGUGAGAUGUAUUUGUAAGUGACUCUGCAGCUGAUGCAUAGUUCACACACCCUAGUCUCUGUAAGUCGCCUUGGAUAAAGGCAUCUGCUAAAUAAACAAAUAAUAAUAAAUACUGUUUUACUACAAAUGUGAAAAAUUGUAAUGAAAUCAAAAUCUGUAAUAACUUUAGAAUGUCUAUUUUUGUGUUACACCUUGUAGCAGGGCAGGAGCCCUGCACAUGAAGAGUGGGUUUAUGUGUAUACAUUGUAAAUAGUAUUGUGUAAAUGUGUGUAAUUGUUGUUAUUAAUUUAUUGCAGUACCUGACGCUCCUGGGAUAAACCGGCUGCUGUGUGUGAUUGCCAGCUGUGGAUAAUCAGUGGGUAGGUGUGUUCCAGCAUGGCAUCAGGUAUAAAGAGGUCCUGUUUGUUCACCUCGGGGCUGCUGCAAAGCCACGGACAUUGAGCUGAAGAUCGUCCACGCUACCCGAGCAUAGAGAGCGAAAUAAGUUGCAGAAAUCCUCCGAUAGCCGUGAUGGUGAACCGGGAUCGGAGCCAAAAGAAGCUGCCAAAACCGUCGACGGCCGGAGUCGGGGUUUGUGUUGAUACAUAAAGAUUAGUUCGGGGAUGGUAGAUCCCCUUAAAGUAUAGCGAGGUGAGCAAGCGGGACCUCCAUGCAUUAGGGAGCAGAGCACGCCGUUUUUACGGCACCUUUUAUUUUAUAGUUUUUUGUAUUGUGUUUUAUUUUGUUUUGUUUCGUACGCUGGCCGUUUGUACUCAGUGAGCUAUCAUGGUUGGUAGUUUCACGUGAGCUGUUCUGUGUGAGGGAGCCAGAGAGGGGAGCCAACUGAGACGUGGGUGAAAAGCCACAGAGGGAGGAGCUGGAGCCCCGAAAGCCGGAGGGGGAGGAGCUACCGUCCUCCAAGUCUAAAGUAGGAGAAGCUACUGUCCUCAAAGGCCAGAGUAGGAGUGAGUGGCUGCCUGCCUGUCUGAAGAGCCAGAGGAGGAGCUACAGUCCAAGAAGGAGUAGCUGCCGUCCCGAGGGCCAAACAAGGAGGAACUACUGUCCCGACAGCCGGAGGAGGAGGAGCUGCCAUCCAACAGCCUAAGGAGGAGGUGCUGCCAUCCCCAACAGUGAGGAAGAAGAGAAGCGACGGGUUUCUAUGGUGGAGUCGUCGAGGAGACCAGAUCCACCACAGCCCCGACCCUCGUGACAGCCUGGAGAGACAGCUGACAGGAGGAAAGAGACCCCAUUGGGGCCGGCAAGGGUUAGCUACCCUUGUCGGCAGUAUCCAGCUCUGUGUUUACAGGAUGCUGGAGACACCCGCCCAAGGCUUCUAAGAAAUUAAAGAGAAAAAUACCCCUAGAGUCUGCGAGAACCGGGGCGGAAGAUGACUCAAUGUUGGACAACACGGUUAACAACUUAGGAAUGGAAACAGUUAUGAGUAUGGAGAGUACUUUACAAAAGACUAGUUCAAGAUCUGCAGUUAGCAAAGACAUGGAACUCCAGGUUUGUGUCUGCGGCUGGAGCAAGGCGACAACGGUCAGGGGUUUGAAGAUUCAUCAAGAGAAUGAAAUGCUUGAGGGAGAAGGGACAAGGGCCUCACAUUGAUCAGUACUUCUUAUGAAGUCAGUCAAGUCAGUCGAAUGAAAUCCAGCGUCAGGAAGCAAACCACAGGUCGCAGGAUAUCAGCACCCCUGUGUGACGAAGAGCGAAUGAAUCUGAAUCAACAAUCUCCCUCUCGACCGGUGAGGGCACUAUACAGCAGGAACUGCGGGCUUCGUACUGAAUGGUUGGGCAGUUCAUUCCAGGGGCAGUCGGAAGCCAGCCAUUCAGGAAGAGGGCAGCGUUACGGUACCUGGAGUCAUCACCCUAGUUCGGUGAGCGAAGUUUCAGUCAUGAAUUGGAGGAGACAUGAUUGAACUAGCUAUCAGAGGGGGCAGGGCUUAGGGUACUUUAGGGGGAUGAGACGCCGUAAUCUGUUCCUUUGUUGUGGUUAAUGGGAGGAAACAAGGACGGGAAACGUGAAUGAAGUGUUGUCCCAUUGAUAAAAGCCUGUAUUUGUCUUUGCCAGAUGGCUGAUACAAAGCCGGGAGCUGCAGCGAGAAGCCAGCCCGGACCUGAAUGCAAAAACCACUACCACUCAGAGCACCGCACCUGCACCAGAGCACACACCGUCUGGAGACGUGUUUAUGUGUUUGUGUUACGUGUUUUGUGUUCAGAUUAUUAUUUCGGGACUGCAACCACUUGUUUUGGCACUGGCAAUACCCAUUGCUGGGUAGAGCCAGCUUUAUUAUUUGAAUCCAGUUUUCGCUGGCAAUACCCAUUGCUGGGUAGAGCCAGCUUUAUUAUUUGAAACCUUUGGUCAAGAAAAUUAAAGGCUUGAACUGUGAACUUUGUGUUUGUCCUUUGUCUGGAGCACCUGAAUCACCUGUACACCUGAGCACUGCAAACCACUUUGCCACAAGUGGUUUUAGAAGUGGGAUCAUGGACAUGGCUGCAUUAACCACGCUGCUACAGGCACUGGAGCACAGACGAGACGGAGGAUAGACAGAGGGAGGAGAGAUACACGGCGCUGAUUGAGAGGGUCGGUCUCGGAAACGCACCCCAAACACCAGCAAUACCCGUGAUGGCGCCUCCUAAAGCAUGGACGCAAAAGAUGACUGCGGAGGAUGACCCGGAGGUGUACUUGGUUGCCUUCGAGCGGUUGGCCACCACCGCAUUAUGGUUGAAGGAGUACUGGGCCAGCCGACUGGGUCCCUGUCUGAUCGGGGAAGACCAGGCAGCGUACCAGGCUAUGACCAAGGAGAAGGCUAGCCAGUACGACCUGGUCAAACAGGCCAUCCUCCAACGCCUGAAUAUCACGGGGGAAACACACUGGAUGCGGUUCCGGGAGUAUCGGAGGCCACGGGAGACCAGCCCAGGGUGGUCGCCCAAAAACUCUGUGACCACAUGGUGCACUGGCUCAACCGUGCAGAAAAGACAUGUCACCCAAGGAUGGAUACAGCCCCACAAUCCGACCACCUUGGAGGCCGUCGUCAAACUUGCGGAGGAUUUUGAGGACUCUCAGGUCUCCGUAAAGACAGGACUACUGACCCCUCUCGUCACGCCAAUCACCCACGGAUCAGUGCCAUCGUCUCUCCAGCUGGGAAUCAGACCUUACCAUGGAGACAGCGGUUGGCCCCCAGCUGGGGUAGAUUUACUGCCCCCGACCUGCUGCAGUAUCAGCAGCGUGACAGACAGCUAACCCCAGUCCCUUCUGCCCCGAUUGUUUGUUUUAGGUACCAUGAGCCUGGACACAUCACCCACUUGUGCCCCGUGACAAUGGAGUGCAAGGUGGUGACGUGCAACCUGGCAUCUGAAGCAGGUAAGGAACAGGGAAAUGGUCGGGAGGGGCCUUAUAUCAUUGAUGUGAUGGUUGAUAAUGUGAGUACCCAUGCUUUAGUGGGCUCAGGGUGUGCACAGACCUUAAUUCAAACGUCUCUCUUAGGCGGUAUGUCGUGGCAGCCACAAGGCAAGGUGGCGAUCUCCUGCAUCCAUGUAGACACAGCGACAUAUCCCACCCUAAAAGCAUACGUGUCGAUAGGUCAGACACAGCGCCACCUCACAGUGGGGGUGGUGGAAAGGCUGCCGCACCCCGUUCUGGGCCGGGACUGGCCACAGUAUCGGCAAUUAAUCCAAAAGGCAGUCCUGACCGCACACGUAAAUGUGCCAGACAGAGCAGGGGAAACGAUUGGUGAGAUUUUCCCCCUGCAAGCCGACCUGUUUAAUUCUCUUUUUUGUCCUAGGAAAACAAAGAAAGAGAGACGGAUCGAAAAAGGGGAAGGUGCAUCUCUGAAACGAGGCUGGGGACUGGUGGGAGAGAGUGCGGAUGGUAUCAAACGCCACUCACGGGGAGUUGGUACGCAGUGUGACCGAGAGGGCGAGAUUACUGGGCCAUCCAGGACAGAUGUUACUCCAGCCCCUCUCAAUGUACCGGACAUGUGGGGCUCAAGCGCGGACCUAGUGUGGGACCAGAAAAACGACCCCACACUGGUGCACGCUUGGGGACAGGUCCGGUCUAUUGAAGGUAAGGAUGUUGAAGGUGCUGGGGCGCUGGUAUAUCCGCACUUCAUUAUCAAGGGGCAAGUACUGUAUAGGGUAAACCUUGCCACGGGCACAGGACAGCCUAUAACACAAUUGAUGGUUCUCCUGUUGUGUCGGCCCGAGGUCAUGAGGCUGGCGCAUGACAUCCCCUUUGCAGGACACUUGGGAGCCAAAAAGACGAGGGAACGCAUAUUGGCUCAAUUUUAUUGGGUAGGGCUUCAUAAUGAAGUGUCGAAAUAUGUAGCCACCUGCCCAGACUGCCAGCGAGUAGCACCGGGUUGAGUGCACCCGCUCCUUUGGUCCCACUGCCAAUUAUUUCCACUCCCUUUGAACGCAUUGCAAUGGACAUAGUCGGCCCUUUGCUACCUUCUGACUCCGGGUAUAUGUAUAUAUUAGCAGUGGUGGAUUAUGCAACGCGAUAACCGGAGGCAGUUCCAUUGAGGUCCACUCAAUAGCCAAAGAACUAGUACAUGUCGAGAGUAGUAUCCCCAAAGAGAUACUGACUAACCAUGGGACUAACUUUCUGUCUCGAACGCUACAGCAGGUAUAUAAAAUGUUAAAAGUACAUCCCAUCCGGACAUCUGUUUAUCAUCCACAGUCAGACGGUUUGGUGAAACGUUUUAAUCAAACAUUAAAGCAGAUGCUGAAACGAUUUGUGAAUCAAGAGCAGAAACAUUGGGCAUCGCUCCUUCCCUACCUCCUUUUUGCAGUGAGAGAGGUGCCGCAGAGCUCAACACGGUUCUCCCCCUUUAAGCUCUUGUUCGGCCGACAACCUCACGGCAUCCUUGAUCUGUUGAGAGGAGUGGGAAGAGCAUAAAGGCUCGUCCAAAAAUGUAGUGCAGCAUGUGCUCCUACUCCGUGAUCGCCUGGAUUUGGUCGAUCGUUUGGCCCAGGACAAUCUAAAAUCGGCUCAGCACCGCCAACAGCAGCAUUACAACAAAAAUGCACAAAUUCAGACCUUUCGGCCAGGGGACAAGUUAAUGCUGCUUCUUCCUACGUCGGAAUCCAAACUGUAUGCCAAAUGACAGGGGCCAUAUGAGGUGAUUCUGGCUAUAGGGAAAGUGAAUUAUGAAAUUCGGCAGCCCGAUCGCCGUAAUGAACAGGAAAUUUACCAUAUAAAUUUAUUAAAGCCCUGGCAGGCAAGGGAGGCCUUAUUUAUAGCCCCAGGUGAGUUAGAGGAUGAUUUUGGACCCUGUAUAGAGGCCCCUAGCAUACAGAACAUUCAGAUGGGGGAACAGUUACUCCCAGAUCAGCAGAGAGGUCUGUGCAGGUUAAUUGAGAAGUUCAGGGAUGUUUUUUUCUGAUGUGCCCGGCAGAACUAAUUUUGUUGAAUAUGACAUUAUCUCUCCACCAGGUGUCACGGUUCAGGAGAGACCUUACUGGAUCCCGGAAAGUCGACGAGGUGGCGUUCGCAAAGAGGUGCGGGUGAUGCUCGAACUUGGGGUGAUUGAGCCUUCCAGGAGUGAGUGGUGCAGUCCAAUUGUGAUAGUCGCCAAAAAGGACGGCACCAACCGCUUCUGCGUUGAUUUCCGCAAGGAGAAACGACAGCAGGAGCGGGAUUCGAAAAUCUGAAGUAAACAAACCAGAAGACGAACGUCAUUGUCUGAAGCGAGAGCAUUUUCUGGAGCAAAGCAUAACUGAAACCCAAGCCGCUGUAUAUAACAUCUUAAAUACUGUAAAACAAGAAAAUUUCACGAGCGAGAAAUGUUUGCUAAUUUCGCGUUUACUAAAAAUCUGCAAAAUUAAUGUGCCGUAAAUAUAUUAUUCAUACAUGUGCCGUACAUUAAAAGAAAAAGAAGCGCAAACAUUUAUUGCAGCAAAAAUGGAUCUUGAAUGACCUUGAAGGCCAUUAGUGAAAUUAAGUUGCCGCAAAAACAUUUUACAGUAGUAGUACACCAUUGGAAUGCUGCCAUAAAAUGUAGGGUUUCCUAAACUAGUCUGCAAAAUGCAAACUCUGUUUCCAUUGUUUUUGUCCAAGCCCUGUCAAUUCUUCAUUCUGCAGGAGCUUCUUUGUGUUGGUAGGAGAUCAGCACAGUAGAAGCACAUCCCACCAAUACGGAUCAUAAAGUAACUAGUGAACAUGAGGGAUGUGUAUAUUCCUGGCUUGAUCUCUACAUGAGUAUUGCAUCAUUCUUACACUUCAUUAUGUACGAUAUAUACAGUAUACGCUCCAGUGAAACAGCAGAUCAAAUCCAUCAUAUGAUCCCUUCAUCAUCUCCCAGUCCUGCCACUGCUUCAUUACAUAAGGCAAAGACAAGAUGAACACAAAAGCUAAAAGCCGGAACCUAUACAAACAGGAAUAUUUAUGCGGACUUUGAUGUCUGUUCCAGACAAAGCUUUUCAAACUCAGUGGGGCAAGACUGUAAUGCAUACAAAUGAAAUUGAAUAAACAGGCACACAUUUGCCAAGGCUUAUUAGACAGGAGAAUUUACAGGGGUGAUAUGUAAAGCUGUAGCUUGUUUUAAACUUACUUAUGCUGUCCAUCAACCCCCAAGCUGUGCUUUACAUUAUAAAUCGUCAGGACAUCUCUAACCAAUCAGGUUUCUCAGCUCGCUCACAUUCUAAUUGUGCACCAUAAAAGAGAGAGAACCUAGAGAGACAGAGGGUUAUCGUUGAGACGCUGGUGGUGCCUAAGAUUUAUUUAUACGGUUUAAAAUGACAUUACGGUAACCCUCUGCUAUAGUAAGAGAAACGGUAAACCUAGCAUGCUAUGACACGAAACAUGUAAUCACUGUGACCUGUCCAACCUGAUAUUAGGUUCAGGUCGUAAUAAAGUGGCCAGGCAGCGAAUGUAUUGUCAGUGAAAGUUAAUUAUGGAUAGAUUGUAUAUUUAAUUAACAACUAGUACAUUCAGACAGAUAAUGUUUACUUAGCUAAAACUACAUGGUUUCCAUAUUUAUGUGCAGCACCUAAAUGUGUCUGACAUAGAAACAUUAUCUUUUAGUUUCAGGUUUGGGUUGGUGAUACAAAUCAGAACUGUAAAUCCCAUCUUUACGAAUCCCUCCUAGCACAAGAUGUUGACAUCAUGUAUUUGAAUAUGAAUCAGUGUUUCCUAAGAUUCCUACACAUUUCUUUUUGAUGUAUUAUCUUGGAUACUUUAUCAUAUUUCUGCAAACUGUCUAUAGCAGGGGUUCCCAAAGUUUUGGUGAUGGAGGGCCAAUUUCUAGAGGUUGCAUGGGAUGGGGGGCCGCACAAGAAUAUGUACCACUCAUGAAACUGAAAUAUGUCCCAAAUCAUACCUUUUUUAUUUCCUAUACAUUUUUGUAUUCAAAUUAGGAAUGUAUAUUACUACCACUGCAACACCAGCAGCUUUGAAAUGUAUUUGUAUUUUAUCCUGUGUCUUGGUGACACAACAGGCUUAGGUUUGAGCACCAGUAUCAUGCUGUCACAUCUUACAUUGUCCUGAUCACAACAAUUAAAGAAGAUAAUACCAAAAUAAAAACUCUUCAAACUAUACCAAUUAAAUUCUUUUGUGGGUUAUUCUUCAGUAGUGAGGCAGAAUGCAACUAACCACUUCACUAAGAGCUGAAUGUAUGUACAGUGAACUCUGCUUAAUUAGAAUCUCUGGGGACCAUACAAAUAGUGCAAAGUUUGAAUGAAACAAAUUAUGUAAAUUGCCCCAUGGUGUGGACAUUUAGAGCUAUUUCCAUAGUAAAUGUGCAGAAAUAAAACACAGACGUUACUGCAUUUUACCUUGAUGUUUUUAUGUAUUUUUUCUUUCUGAAUACAAUGAAAUAAUCACACAUUUAUAUUUAAAGUGCAGCAUUAGUUAUUCAUAAAUUCUCUGCCAUUACAUUGGCGCUUUUCAUGCAGUUACAUACGAUUGCUACUUAACAUCCUACUAGCUACUGUACUGUAGCCUAACUGUAGUCUUAUUCAGAAACAUUGUACAAAAAAGUAAUGUAACAGUAAUAAGUUUAAACUGCAGCCGGGUACUGUUACUACAGUAGUACUUUCCCCAACAAAAGAUCCAAGUUGAACACCAAAACUACAAUACUGUACAAAGAGCAUUUUCCCGAUGUAGUUGAAGCUGAAUACAGUUUUGCUCUUAAAAUAAUAAAAUAAAAUCUACAACAGAAAAAGUGCCUGUAUACUGAACCGUAACGUUUCUCGCAGUCACUAUGUUAACAUUACAGAAGCUAGCUAGCUACUUCAGCUGCAUAUAGUAAUCUAACGUUGUCUGGAUGGUACCUUCACGUCUUGAUAUCACAGUCAUUGAGCAUCUCCCCCUGUGGAAAGCGAUAGGAGAAGACAAAAUAAUAAUUUAAAAAAAGUAGAAGUGCUGUCAUAACAUGUGGAGGGAUUCGGCCGACAGCAAAACACAGAACACAAAUAAAGUUCUUAAGCUUUUUUUUUUUUUUUUUAAACGAAGAAUGCCUCAAGCCUUUCCAAAUUACAUACAAUUAUGUUGACCUACUCAUUAUAUAGCCUACUGAAAAGUUUCACUCAGGUACGUUAGUUGUAUAUUAUUAUUAUUAUUAUUAUUAUUAUUAUUAUUAUUAUUAUUAUUAUUAUUAUUAUUAUUAUUAUUACUAAUAAUAAUCAUAAUAAUGGAUCAACUUACCUACUGUCCGCUCGCGUGAGAUUUGUGGUGCUGACUUCUCCCGGCCACAAUCUCUGACAACCUGGGCUCCAAUCCCGUUGUCGCAAUGCGAAGGACUGAAUGUAGGUGGUCAUUGGUCAGUCUGGAUCUCAAUUUGGAUUUGUUGAUGUUCAUGGUGGAGAAGGUUUUCUCACAAGUGUACGUGCUUCCAAAUAGAGAAGUCAUUCGAAAGGCAUGCUGGCGAAGUGCAGGGAAAGUUGUUGGCAAGAGGCUUUGGUAGAACUGUAUCAGGCUUUGCUCCUGAAAUGUAGUUUUUGCCUCUGAACUCUCCUGUAAAUCAAUUAGUUCAAAUUGCAUUUCUGUCGGAGCGCCUUCAGGGGCACAUUUGAAAGGAUCCUGAAAAAUGUCAAAAGCCUGCUCAUGGCUCCUGAAGUCUGAGAAGCGGCAGCGAAAUUCAGCCUGCAAUUUUUCCAUGAUCUGAUUGUUUUUGUCUGAGCGUAGGUGAUCCAAAACCUUUUCAUCCUCUUCCAAGAGCUCUUUGCAGGCUGGGAAAUGGGCUAAAUUGCCUUCCUUCAAUUGCUCCUGCAACAGUUGGAGUUUUCUCUCAAAAGACUUGACGCUGUCAAAUAGAGAAGAAAUUAGCUUCCCAUGACCUUGUAGCUUCAGGUUCAGAUCGUUGAGUGGAGAGGUAAGAUCUGUCAGGAACGCCAGAUCACAAAUCCAUUCAAUGUCACUUAGCUGUGGCAAAUCCUGCCCUUUCUGGUGCAUGAAAUCUGCGAUUUCUUUUCUCAACAGAAAAAAAUGCUUCAGAGUGGCCCCUCUGCUUAGCCACCUGACAGCUGUGAAGUAGAUCACGUCCCCAAAUUCAGCCUCUGAUUGUUCCAAAAAGGCCUUAAAUUGGCGGUGAUUCAGACCUCUGGAUUUAAUUAAAUUAACUGUCUUGAUAAUGAUGUCCAUGACGUGCCCCAUCCCGAGUACGUGUGCAGCAAUAGCUUCUUGGUGAAUUAUACAAUGAUAGUGAAUUAUGUUUACAUCCCCGUCUUCCAAAACUUUCUUGCUUAUAAGCGGCACAGCACCCGCCUUACCCCCCAUCAUUGCUGGUGCUCCAUCUGUUGUGACACUAACCAGGGAUGACAACUUUAAGUUGUGUGAAUCACAAGCACGAUACACAGCAUCACAUAUGUCAACCCCUCUUGUUCGAUCCUUGAGGCUCUCGAGACUGAGUAGGUCUUCUGAUAUUUUGAAGUUUUCCGAGACACUCAGAAUGAAAAUGAGUAAUUGUGCUGUGUCGCCGAUGUCUGUGCUCUCGUCCAGUGCUAUGGAAAAAGCACCCAGCUUCUCAGUGCGCUCAAUCAGUUGCCUUUUUAGAUCGCUGCCAAUGUCUUCUAUACGGCGUGUGACUGUCAUUUUUGACUAGCUGAUAUCUUGAAAUGCAGCCUUUUGCUCUGGCAUACAAUCUCAGCCACCUUCACCAUACAGUGUUUAAUGAACUUGUCGUCACUAAAUGGCUUGCUUCUCUUUGCGAUUUCGUGAGCUGCCACAUAGCUAGCUCGUGUUGCAGCUUCACUUGCUUUACUUACAUUUUGCAUUGUUGAGCUGAUAGUUCUCUUCGUAGCUGUUCAAGUUCUUUCUUUCACUGAUCGCCCACAAGACUACUGUAAGAGCCGUGAUUUGUUUCAUAAUGAAGUUUCACAUUGUACUCUUUUAUAGCAGAUAUCUACUGUUUACAAAUCAAGCACAGUGCUUUUUCACCAUUUCUGAUAACGAAGUAGGAACUACUCCAUUUUUCUUGACAAGUCCUCCUCUCCUCAACGAUGGAAUGCUUUUUCUAGGAGGUUCCAUUUUUUUUUCCUUCAGCGCGGCAAAUCUAC